rnacentral:sRNA from 1 species
GCUUAAAGUCUGCAUGGCCUAAAGCCGGAAAAGCAAGAGCCUCCUUCCCGAGCGGGAAGGAGGCUCUUGCUCUUUUGGCAU